GCCCGCUCAGAGUAAGAGAUUAUUUAAAGUCAAAAAGGCCACUGAAGCGUAAGCGAAAGGUCCGGAAAAUGCAAGUUGAGGAAGAAGACCAAAAAUUACCUAGAGGAUGGACUAAAUUUAGUAUCUUCUUUCAGCUACCUUAUUGGCAAAAUCUUAAAAUCCGCCACAACUUAGAUGUCAUGCAUAUUGAGAAAAAUAUAUGUGAUAACAUAGUAUCAACUCUCCUACAAGAUGCAAACAAGUCGAAGGAUGAUCUACGGGCGCGCCAAGAUCUGACUGCUUUGAAUAUCCGAAAUGAUUUGCAAGCUCAAGAUGUUGGACUUAAAAAAUUAAAGUUGCCUCCGUCUCGUGUUACACUGACAAAUGAGCAGAUGCAACGAUUUUGUGAAAUUCUCAAAUCAGUAAAGUCUCCGGAUGGUUACUCUGCUAACAUUUCAAAUAAUGUCCAAGUGCAAGAGCGAAAACUCUUAGGUCUGAAGACCCAUGAUUAUCACGUUCUUCUCCAUCAAUUGCUUCCUGUUGCAAUCCGUAACAAUAUGGAUAAAGAAGCGUCGAAGAUUAUUAUUGAGUAUUGUGGGUUUUUCAGAAAAUUAUGCUCUAAAGUCAUAGAUGUAGAUGAAUUUAAAAAACUUGAAGCUGAGGUCCGAGUUACUCUAUGCAAUAUGGAAGUAAUAUUCCCUCCUUCUUUUUUUACGGUUAUGGUCCAUCUUACCCAGCAUCUUGCAAGAGAGGCUAGAAUCGCCGGACCUGUUACUUAUCGUUGGAUGUAUCCGAUUGAGAGAUACUUGGGCUCCAUGAAACAUAAUGUUCGCAAUCGAGCUCGUCCAGAAGGCUCGAUAGCUGAAGGAUACGUGGCAAAUGAAUGCUUUAUUUUUGCAUCACGUUACAUGCGCCAGAAGAAAACCACGGCUCAAGUACCAGAUAAGGAGAGAAAGCGUGAAAAAUAUCCGAGAUCUCUCUUAGAACAAAUUCAUGCAUAUGUGCUGGAAAACCUUGAUAUGUUCGCAGACUAUCGAAGGUAACAAAUAACACCCGAAAUAUAGAUGAGACUAUUCAUUUUACAUAAUGUUCGCAAUGCAAACUUAUAUAUUGUUUAUGUAGGCGACAUUUGGAGAAGCUUAAGAAUGAAACAACCGGUAGGAAUGCAGCGCAUAAUAUUCAGAAAAGACAUAGGAAAGAAUUUUCUGAUUGGUUAAGAUUUGAUGUUGAUAAAUCACUUCUUGAUGGUACUACGUUACCAGAUGAAAUUAUUAUACAUGCACAACGCCCUUAUUAUGAAGUGAGACGUUAUAAU